rnacentral:lncRNA from 1 species
AUUGGAGGUUUGGACAUGCGCGGCUGAUGAAAAUUGGGAGUUGAGGGGUGUUUUUGAUGAAAUUGAAAAAAGAAAGACUAACAUGAUGAUCGACCUAAAGUUGAUGGGGUAAACUGAAAUUAAUCCUUAAUUAAUCAUUAAGUAAUAAGCUGACAGAAAUUCAAACCUUGCUCCCCAAGUGAAAUUCUACUCCCUGUGUAAAGAGAACAUUGGAGGGAAACAUGAGCUAUAUAUGAAACAACAUAUAAACACACUUAUCCAUCUAGCAAUACUCAACACUUGAAGCAUACAAUUCUCGCAUUUAACAAUUCAGCUGUCAAAUCACACUCUUUGGAUUGUUACUGUCAAAUCAUGAUUGACACAUGCAAUCUGAGAAAUUCAGCUCCUCUAAUCUGUUCAAUACUAAUUGAUUCAGGCUUUAAUUUAAAAGUAAACCAUGUUACUAAUGCACUAGUAAUUUCACAACAUCGGAAAGGGAAUAUGAAAAUCAUGAGUUGAUAAUGGAAAUGGUGAUAUGAUCAGCUAAUGUUUUGUAAAAGUUGAUAUAACAGAUGAGGUAAUUAAGAAGCAUAAGGUUGCAUUUUCACAUCGUCAUGCUAGUCCUUCAUUUCAUUUCGCUGUAAGUAACUGAAACUCUAGAAGCUCAAAAAGUUGAGCAAACCAGUUGAUGAGCCAGGCAUAUAGGAAUUUGGCCGGAGAAGGAGAGGUGGAAGCGGCGGAGGUCGUCGUGGGAUUGGAUGACUAGGGUUUUGGGGUGAAGAGAAUCUGAAGAAAAAGAACAGGUCUUGAGAGCCAAUUUGGCACGUAACCUUCACGUGAGUAACUCGGUCGUUCAAGUGCCAACUCCAGCUGCAGUAAAUUGUUAUUUAUCAGCUGCAGUAAACUGAUAUCUUCCUUUUUACUGUUAUGUGAAGUCUUACCCCCUACAUGGAACUAUUGUCUGAUUUGUAUAGAACAAAAAAAAAUUAAUAAUACUCAAAAGUAUGGGAGUCAUUCUAAUAAGGGAAAAUGCCUAUUUACUACUAAUUUAUUCUUCCCUUAGCCCAUUUGAAUGAAUCUAAUAUUAGAGAGCCCGUUCAAAUACAAGGUCUUCCUUUUUUGCCCAAAUGACCAAAUCUUUACUAAAGUCUUAACAAAGUAUGUUAUUUUAAGACUAUUUUGCCCCCACCUCUUCAACAUGAAAAGACUUGGCUGGAACCUCGGACUCCGGUCACCGGCCACCGGACUCUGAUCACCGGCCGCCGGACUCCGGUCACCGGAAUUUUUUCGACCUUCGGACUUUGGUCAUCGGAAUUUCCCCGACCGCGGGACUCCGGUCGCCGGAAUUUCUCUAGUAACCAGUUACUGACCCCUAAUAACCAGUUACUAACCCCCAGUAACCAGUUAUUGACCAGUUACUGACCCCCAAUAACUAGUUACUAACCAGUUACUGACUCCCAGUAACUAAGUCACUUUGGUCACCGGGCGCUUGAACUGAGUUACUGAUCCCCAAUAACUAAAUAAUGAUUCCUUAAAAGACUAUUGACCCUGGGUAACUCAAUUACUGAUCCUCAGUAACUCGAGUUACUGACCCCCAGUAAUCAGUUACUGACCCCUAGUAAUUAGUUAAAACACAAAAAAACGAAGACAAUAGAAGAAGAAUAAGAAAUAGGUCCUCACCCUCACACUAACGAACAACAGAGGUCUUCUCCCUCACACCAACAAACAACUUCCAAAGCCAUAAGAAAUUUAUUAAGAGGUAAUAAAUAUUAAGAAAUUGUUUACUACCCCCAAUAAGUGUUUAUUAACCCUAGCUAAUAAACGUUAGAACAUGAAGCUAUAACUCCCACAAAUCCUCGUCAGAACAUUCUAAAGAAUUUAUAGAAGCUAAUAUAAGGUUUACAAGGGGAUAAUAUAGUUAACACCACACAACCUCUCUCAACAAUAAAUUAUUGACCCCAUUAAUCAUGGUAUUGACCUUUAUUAAUGAUUACUAACCCUUGAUAACAUGUUAUUAACUGUUGAUAAACAUUUUCCUCUUCAUGAACCCGUUCUGCAAAUGGCAACCUUACCAAGGACCUGAUCUGUAAUCAACACAUGGUCUACCCACCGCAUCUCUUCCCUCCUUCAUAUCUGACCCGGUCUUCACCAAAGACGACCUUGACAACGGUCAGAUUCAGAUCUGGAGGUGAAAAUCCAGAUAGUCUUUGAGGAGAUCAACGCCUUGGUCGUUUGGUUCCACCAGUGAACGACGUCGUUGCGGUGAAAGGCGUUGCUGCAAUGAAAGGCGUCGUUGCGGAGAGUGGUUCCACUGGUGACGGCCUCGCUACGGUGAAUAACGUCGCUGCGAUGAACGGCGUUGUUGCAGAGAGCAGCGACAUUUCGAUCCCUCCGGCAUGAACGGCGUUGUGGCUCACAGAUUGAAGAUCAGAGAGAGAGAGAGAGAGAGGGGAAGAAGAAGAAGAAGAAGAAGAAAACCAGAUCGGGAAGAAAUAGAGGUUAAAUGACGGGAAAGAGAGAGAUGAGGGUAGUUAUAAUAUGAAGGGUAGUAUUGUCUUUUUUAUUAAAAUCAUUGGAAUGAGAUGUGCUAAACUUUUUUCAUUGGAAUGGGAUAUCAAAAUUCUGAUUUUGACUAAAUAGGCAUUUUCCCUUCUAAUAAAGACCUUUAUAAUAAGGAUUAGUUGAAGAUUUUUUGGUUUAUGGUUUAAAACUUUAAAUGACUCAUUUUUUUAUCAUAUUUUAGCAUCUCAUCACACGGCCUUUAUUAAUUAGUUAUAAAAUAAAUUUUCAAGCAAUGUUUAUAACAACUGGCUUCAUUGUUAGAGAUAUCUACAUGGCAUUCGUACUCUUGCAGGUGCCAAG